rnacentral:rRNA from 1 species
GACAGAGGCCUCAAGCGUUAGGCGGAAUCACUGGGCUUAAAGCGUGUGUAGGCGGAUCGUUAAGUGUCUUGUGAAAUCCCACGGCUCACCCGUGGAACUGCUGGGCAUACUGACGAUCUUGGGCCAACUAGGGGCAACUGGAACAAGCGGUGGAGCGGUGAAAUGCGUAGAUAUCGCUUGGAACGCCGAAGGUGAAAACAGGUUGCUGGGGUUGUGCCGACGCUGAGACACGAAAGCCAGGGGAGCAAACGGG